CCGUAGAGCUCAAAAUCACCCUUCUUCAAUACUCUAAUGUUCUGCAGCCCCUGCAAUGAUUUGCAGAUAUGAGAAUCACAGGCGGUAUCCAAUACCCAAGAGUCUGAAUUGGAAGAACUUAGUGACAAAAUUAUAUGUAUCUCAUACAUACCUUUUGAUGUGUCGCUUGCUCUAGCCUUUACAGUUGCAAGAUAUAACUUGCAAUUUCUUUUCCAGUAUCCUGUCUUGCUGCAGUGAAAGUAGGUACCCUAUCCUGAGACUUUCUUCUCCUUCUUCUUCAUC
rnacentral:lncRNA from 1 species